rnacentral:rRNA from 1 species
CAGUAGCCGCGGUAAUACGUAGGUGGCAAGCGUUGUCCGGAAUUAUUGGGCGUAAAGGGCUCGCAGGCGGUUUCUUAAGUCUGAUGAGAAAGCCCCCGGCUCAACCGGGGAGGGUCAUUGGAAACUGGGAAACUUGAGUGCAGAAGAGGAGAGUGGAAUUCCACGUGUAGCGGUGAAAUGCGUAGAGAUGUGGAGGAACACCAGUGGCGAAGGCGACUCUCUGGUCUGUAACUGACGCUGAGGAGCGAAAGCGUGGGGAGCGAACAGGAUUAGAUACCAGCGUAGUCCCUGUCUCUUAUAC